UACGGAGGGUGCAAGCGUUGUCCGGAAUCAUUGGGCGUAAAGGGUUCGUAGGUGGAAUUAUAAGUCUGGUGUGAAAGCCCACAGCUCAACUGUGGAACUGCACUGGAUACUGUUUUUCUUGAGUUAUAGAGGGGUUUGUGGAAUUUCUGGUGUAGAGGUGAAAUUUGUAGAGAUCAGAAAGAACACCGGUGGCGAAGGCGACAAACUGGCUAUUAACUGACACUGAGGAACGAAAGCGUGGGGAGCGAACAGGAUUAGAAACCCUAGUAGUCC
rnacentral:rRNA from 1 species